rnacentral:tRNA from 1 species
GGGCCGGUGGCGGAAUGGCAGACGCUCAGGUCUUAAAAACCUGUGAGUUCACACUCGUGAGGGUUCGACUCCCUCCCGGCCCA